GACGAACGCUGGCGGCGUGCUUAACACAUGCAAGUCGAACGGAAAGGCCCUGCUUUUGUGGGGUGCUCGAGUGGCGAACGGGUGAGUAACACGUGAGUAACCUGCCCUUGGCUUUGGGAUAACUUCAGGAAACUGGGGCUAAUACCGGAUAGGAGCUCCUGCUGCAUGGUGGGGGUUGGAAAGUUUCGGCGGUUGGGGAUGGACUCGCGGCUUAUCAGCUUGUUGGUGGGGUAGUGGCUUACCAAGGCUUUGACGGGUAGCCGGCCUGAGAGGGUGACCGGCCACAUUGGGACUGAGAUACGGCCCAGACUCCUACGGGAGGCAGCAGGGGGGAAUAUUGCACAAUGGGCGGAAGCCUGAUGCAGCAACGCCGCGUGCGGGAUGACGGCCUUCGGGUUGUAAACCGCUUUCGCCUGUGACGAAGCGUGAGUGACGGUAAUGGGUAAAGAAGCACCGGCUAACUACGUG
rnacentral:rRNA from 1 species